rnacentral:piRNA from 2 species
CGUGGAGAGGAACAAUUCUGAGUC